ACGACGAGUUUGAUCAUGGCUCAGCCUGAACGCUGGCGGCGUGGCUAAGACAUGCAAGUCGCACGGAUGUAGCAAUACAUUAGUGGCGAACGGGUGAGUAAUAAAUCGCUAACGUACCUUGGGCUCUGGGAUAGCCGGUUGAAAGAUCGGGUAAUACCGGAUGAUACCUUCCUGCCGCAUGGUGGGGAGCUCAAAGCUCCGGCGGCCUGGGAGCGGGCGAUUCCGUAUCAGCUAGUUGGUGAGGUAAUGGCUCACCAAGGCAACGACGCGUAACCGGACUGAGAGGUUGGCCGGUCACAUUGGGACUGAGACACUGCCCAGACUCCUACGGGGGGCUGCAGUAACGAAUCUUCCGCAAUGCACGAAAGUGUGACGGAGCGACGCCGCGUGUAGGAUGAAGUCCCUCGGGAUGUAAACUACUGUCAGGGGUUAGAAAGUUCUGAUCAACCCCAGAGGAAGGGACGGCUAACUCUGUG
rnacentral:rRNA from 1 species